GGUUGUGAUGUCUGUCACCCCACCCCACCCACCCCAGAUCGCCAGAAUGACUUGACUGCUCUGGCUGGCUGGGGUGCUGUGCUCUUCCUCCUUUAUCACUCCGUUAUCCCGUCUGCUUUCUCUGCAGUCAGAGAUCACUUUCCCCAGUAGGGAACCGGCCCUUAGUCAAGGGCAUACAGGUAACUGCUCCCCUGCUAGGACCUCCAAAUAAGCUCUCCAGAUGAUUGGCCUCACAGUGCUCUGGUG
rnacentral:sRNA from 1 species